rnacentral:rRNA from 1 species
AUGCGUUGCAACGUCACCAGUAGUAGUAGUAUUUUUUUAGUGGAGGCAAAAACAUUCACAGGUACUUACAAUACUAUGUUGUCGUCCUCGCUCCCCGCUCCCUGCGGUGCGCUACUCUGGCGCCGGCGUCCACCGCGCCCAGGCGCUCUCGCCGCGGCCACUGCGGCGACCACCUCCCUGCCGUCCGGCGGCCACCUCUCACCGCCCUCGGCCUCUCUCCCCGGCCUCCCCAUCUUCCUCAUGGCCGCCAGUUCCAGAUCUGUGACCUCGACGUUCCGGCCGCAGGGAGAGCGCCCUGUGGUGUCGGGAUUGGGGAUCUCCUCCGGCUUCGAGGGCUCGGACGCGCAUGUCCCGGUCGCGGCGGAGGACGACGUCCCUGCUCCGGGGCUGGGGCAGGCUCCGUGGGAGCACCCGCCUCCCUCCAAGAAAGAGCUUUGGAGGAUGACACAGCCCGGAUGGCCCAAGCCGGCGCCUGCUGCCUGCGCGGCCUGCGUCGCUGCCCGUCGUGGUCUCGCCGGAGAUGAGAGACAAGUGCUUCAAGUGUUUGGAGAAGGGCCACUACAAAAAGGAGUGCACCAACCAGAUCGUCUAUUUCAGAUGCGGCUUGCCCGGCCAUGGUUCCAAGGAUUGCAAACGGCGCGGAGUCCUUCGUCGGUGGAUGACCUGCGUCGGGAGGCGAUGGCUAAAGUGGUGCGCCGCGCCACUCCCCCACCACGGCCGGUGCUCGCGGCCACGUCCCACGGCGCCAGCUUGCCACCCCAGACCGCGGCGCUGGGCAUUGACUCGGCGUGGCCACCUUUGGCCCCGCCGCGACUGCAAGUGGAGAACAGGGUCGAGGAGGCGCCUGCGGAGCUCUGCGUCGUCAGGCGCUCUGCUGUCGUGUCCGACCUGGAGCGUCGCCUCCAGUUCGCCAUGGUGGCAUACGUGGCCGGUCAAUGGCGGGCUCUUGCACUGGCGCGUGUGAUGGAGAUCCUCGCCGGGAAGCUCGACAUCGCCCCUGAGCUCGUGUCGGUGCAUAGCUACAGGCCAGAGGACUUUCUGGUGGUUUUUGCGUCUGCGGAGGUGCAGAACAGAGUGGCGGCGUGCCCCUCGGUGGAGUCUGAAGGUGAUUGA